UCAUAUCAAUUUUGUUCACAUCAAUCAGAAUCCGAGGACGAAAGCUGUUAAAACAUGGCAAAGGUAUGUAUAUCAAAUCACAUCUCUUGUAAAACCAAUAAAAUAGUGUAUCUUAUCUUAAGAAUAAAAGGAAAAACUCACAGGAUCCUUGCGAAAGCGUUUCUGUUCUCUUGAAGAGUCCAUUGGUCCUCUGCACCAGAAGCAUAGUAGUCGUAUACCAUCUUAGGCAACUUCUGCUUUGCGAUUGCUUCAUACUCGGUAACGUUUGUGAUCUCCAUUUUCGGAUGUUAAUCUGUCAAAAGAGCAUAAAGUCGUGAGUUUUGCGGAAUUCAGACAUAGUCAUAUAGCUACGAUUCUAAUCUCCAGAAUUCAGCACAAGUGUUUACGUUUGGUCUUAAACACAGAAUUCAGACAUAGCUAAUACACACCUUAAUGAGAAUGGAGCUCUCUGGAGAGAUGAAGGGUGUGACUGGUAAGCAAAGCUUAUAUUAUAUAUAUCUCAAUCUUUGUUAGUUAAAUGUUAAAUAUUUGUGUUUGAUUAAUUUGUAACUGUGUAAAACUUGUUGGCAAGUUGGGAAAAUAAUAUGGAUGAGAAGCUGGAGGUGAAGAAUGGAUGAGGAGAUACGGACAAGGAUCAGAUGGGUUUUGUCUAAUCCACAAGCAACUUGUGUGUUCCUUAGCUUUUCUUUCAUAUUAUCGUUCACAAUCUCGAGGAAAAAUAAUA
rnacentral:lncRNA from 1 species